rnacentral:rRNA from 1 species
GACAGAGGUCCCAAGCGUUAGGCGGAAUCACUGGGCUUAAAGCGUGUGUAGGCGGACUUGUAAGUACCUUGUGAAAUCCCACGGCUCAACCGUGGAACUGCUGGGUAUACUGCGAGUCUUGAGCCACCUAGGGGCGAGCGGAACAAGUGGUGGAGCGGUGAAAUGCGUAGAUAUCGUCUGGAACGCCGAAGGUGAAAACAGCUCGCUGGGGUUGUGCUGACGCUGAGACACGAAAGCCAGGGGAGCGAACGGG